rnacentral:rRNA from 1 species
AUGGGUACCCAUUGCCAUCCCCCCACCACUCUGAACGAGGUCUCUAAUAUUCACACACUGGCGGAAAAAGAACAAUUAAGAAACUUCAGAUCAAUGAUAACAAUGAAUGACAUUACAAAGACUCAAGUUUUGCCAGAAAGAAGCAAAUCAGGAGAAUUCAAGGAGAGAAUCACCCUGAGCGCUCAAAGGCAGUACCUAGGUACUGAAACAUGGAAGCUGCAAUGCACUGCAUCACUAAAAAGUCCUCGUUGCGUUCGAGUUGCACAGCAGCAAAGUCAUCCCAACCAGUACUCUGAAUGA